AGUGAACGCUGGCGGUAGGCCUAACACAUGCAAGUCGAACGGCAGCACAGUAAGAGCUUGCUCUUACGGGUGGCGAGUGGCGGACGGGUGAGGAAUACAUCGGAAUCUACUUUUUCGUGGGGGAUAACGUAGGGAAACUUACGCUAAUACCGCAUACGACCUACGGGUGAAAGCAGGGGAUCUUCGGACCUUGCGCGAUUGAAUGAGCCGAUGUCGGAUUAGCUAGUUGGCGGGGUAAAGGCCCACCAAGGCGACGAUCCGUAGCUGGUCUGAGAGGAUGAUCAGCCACACUGGCACUGAGGCACGGUCCAGACUCCUACGGUAGGCAGCAGUGGGGAAUAUUGGACAAUGGGCGCAAGCGUGAUCCAGCAAUACCGCGUGGGUGAAGAAGGCCUUCGGGUUGUAAAGCCCUUUUGUUGGGAAAGAAAAGCAGCAGGUUAAUACCCCGCUGUUCUGACGGUACCCAAAGAAUAAGCACCGGCUAACUUCGUG
rnacentral:rRNA from 1 species